rnacentral:lncRNA from 1 species
AGACCUAUGAAGGUCGAAGGGGAAGAAAAGCUGUAUCGAUUGUUGAGAUCUGGCGACUUGUUUAAAUUUCAUCAGCCUCACUUCUAUGAACUCUCAGGACAAACUGCAAAAGAGUCGCAUCGAGUUGAGACUUCUCCAAGGGCCAUGGGGUUGACAUCUGUAUUCUCAGAGCUGAUUACCAACUCCUACCACUGUUAACCCUCAUCCAGGAAAAAGCUUAUGUCUUUAACAUUCUGAGUGGGCUUCAGCAUCCUUGCAUAUGUUCAAUUCUUAAAAACCUGUUGAAAUAAAAGAUCAGGAGACAUAGGAAGGAUGCCAGAAGAGAGCGUGGCCUCAUGUGUACCAGCUCUCUGCUCUCCUUUGCCUUGGGACGUUCCAUCCCUGGAAGUUUCCCUGCCCACAUCUUUGUAGAGAGUCCAUUCUCCAAGCUUCAGUGUGUCAUCUGUGAGGACUGUGACCAACCUGGUACAUCGCCUCAGGGCAUUCAUUUCAGGCUCCUUCUAAAUGGUCAAGGGUCUUCCUCUGCCACCCAGGCUGGAGUGUGCAGCAGCAUGACCAUGGCUCACUGCAGCUUCAACCUCUCAGGAUUAGGUAAACCUCAGGUUCUCCUCCUGCCUUUUGCUAAGUAUAUGUCUUGAUGACAAGCCUUCUGCUGAUGAGCUGUGUUUCUGGACCGAUCAUGGUAGAAGUCAAUUAACGUGUCCCUCACUUGGGGUUUCUCAAGGACAUGCAAGGUCCUCAUGAUUGUCUCAAAACUAUAUAGAAUUGAGAAGCUGCACUGAUGAGGAAACUGAAACAGAAAAUCCAGAGUAAAUUCCACCAGGCCACACAGCAAGGUCUGAUAGAGCCAGGAGAGACUUUAUGAAAUCCAGACUCUCACACUAAUGCUCUAUCAGCUAGACCUCCAUGUGAGUCUCCCCAAUGUAGGUAGGAAGUGCUUUCCC